UACGUAGGGUGCGAGCGUUAAUCGGAAUUACUGGGCGUAAAGCGUGCGCAGGCGGUUUUGUAAGCCAGAUGUGAAAGCCCCGGGCUCAACCUGGGAAUGGCAUUUGGGACUGCAAGGCUGGAGUUUGGCAGAGGAGACUGGAAUUCCUGGUGUAGCAGUGGAAAUGCGUAGAUAUCAGGAGGAAUACCGAUGGCGAAGGCAGGUCUCUGGGCUAUAACUGACGCUCAUGCACGAAAGCGUGGGGAGCAAACAGG
rnacentral:rRNA from 1 species